UACGUAGGGUGCAAGCGUUGUCCGGAAUUAUUGGGCGUAAAGAGCGUGUAGGCGGCCCCAUUAGUCCGCUGUGAAAGUCCAGGGCUCAACCCUGGAAUGCCGGUGGAUACUGUGGGGCUAGAGUCCGGAAGGGGCGAGUGGAAUUCCUGGUGUAGCGGUGAAAUGCGCAGAUAUCAAGUGGAACACCAGUGGCGAAGGCGAGUCUCUGGACAUUUCCUGACGCUGAGGCACGAAAGCCAGGGGAGCAAACGGG
rnacentral:rRNA from 1 species